GGACCCGCACAAGUAGUGGAGCAUGUGGUUUAAUUCGAUGCAACGCGAAGAACCUUACCAGGCCUUGACAUCCUCGGAACUUUCUAGAGAUAGAUUGGUGCCUUCGGGAACCGAGUGACAGGUGCUGCAUGGCUGUCGUCAGCUCGUGUCGUGAGAUGUUGGGUUAAGUCCGAUAACGAGCGCAACCCCUAUUCUUAGUUGCCAGCACGUAAUGGUGGGGACUCUAAGAAAACUGCCCGGGAUAACCGGAAGGAAGGUGGGGUCGACGUCAAGUCAGUAUGUCCCUUACGUCUAGGGCUACACACGUGAUACAAUGGAGGGUACAAAGGGUUGCGAUACCGCAAGGUGGAGCCAAUCCCAAAAAACCUUCCCAAGUUCAGAUUGCAGUCUGCAACUCGACUGCAUG
rnacentral:rRNA from 1 species